ensembl:lncRNA novel transcript
ACACCUGGUACAAAUAUCUGCCUUGCUCUGCUGUACCCAACAGCUCUGAGAUUUUUAGGAAGCGAAGGGGCAGAAGAAGCGACUCACAAGCUCCUGGAGCCGUGUUGGGAGGGGCCCUCGGGGCCCCUGGAGUGGAGAGACACACCCAGAGGCUUUCCAGCCACCCAGGGAGGAGGCGCGGUGGCUGGGAUUUGGAGACAGCUGUGGAGAGAGCAGCUGGAAUGGCCCCACAGGCUACAGCCCGUGUCGGUGUGGGAUGCGAGGGAGAGGAGCCAGGAUGGCCCCACAUGCUUUCCUUGGCUGCCUGGGCGGGUGCAGCAGCCACCUGAGAGGGCCGUCUGAGGACACGAGGCGGCAUCAGCCUCAUGAGAUCUGGGAUGUGCACGGGACGUCCAUGAAGCCGUCGGAGAUGUGUGUCUGGGCAGGGUGCUGACAGGGAGGGUGGGUUUCUGUGGCAUUUGGGUUUGGGGGAUGAAGCCGUGCAGGGGUGUGAGGCCUGAGGGUUGCAGCAGAUGCCUGUGUCCACAUCUGGACAGCAUUGCUGGCUAACGCCAACCCCACCUGGCUUGGGAACAGGCUUGAAUGUGUGGUCUGUCCUGGGCAAAGAGUAAGUUCCUAGAAAAUCCCAGCAGUCACUGGGAAGUCUGAUGACUUCCUGAGCCGAGCUCUUGGUGUGAUGUGAUCCCAUCGGUGGUGUUACUUCUGGUUUUUGUCUUGUUCACAAUAGGAUUUGGAGUAGUUUACAAAGGUUAACAAAGUUCAGGGAGUCAGGGAAGGGAAAAUUAAGAAAAAGCCCACAGGACAGAGUGGAGCAUGUGGCAAGGUCAGCGGCCGCGUGGACGUCUCCGAUUGUGCUGGCUGUGCUGCUGUGGCCGCGGUGGGGCAGAAGGCCAGACGUCCUCACUUCCCCCAACCCCAGUCCAGUUGUACAUGUUGUGCACUGCACAAGGGCCCUGGCAGAGGACCAAGUUGGAGUUGAAAUCCAGCCAUGGCAUGGCCCUGUGGGCUGCACACAGCAUAUGGAGGCUGCACUGGUCAGCAGCUGCUCAGCCUGAGAGAGAUCCUGGAGCCCCAUGUGGCAUCUCUGGGUCUGAAUUCUCUCUUGACACAAAGAGGACACCUCCUUGGUCGUUGCUAAGGAAUUUGAACAGAGGAGGGCCCUGCAAGUUCCCAGCGCCAUGCACUGUGCAGCCGAGCCCAACACCCGGAAGCUGCUGUCAGCUGGUCCCUCGGACACUACUGUGGGCUGGUUUGACCUCUUGGGCCCUCACUGCUCAGAGCUGCAAGGUGGCUUCAUCACUUUCUUCUGUGCAGUCCCAGCCUUCCAGAUGGUCAGAGACUGCUGGUGCCUCCCUCCACCAUCCCGUUGCUGUCCCCCAGGGCCUCAUCUCUGGGACUUCUCUACCCUACCAUCCCUCACAUUGACACAAAUGUGUACACAGAAGCACACAUGCACACACACAUACAUGCAUGUGCACAGAUGAACACACAGACACACACGCACACACAUGCACAUGCAUGCAAAGACAUGCACACAU